GAUGAAGAACGCAGCGAAAUGCGAUAAGUAAUGCGAAUUGCAGAAUCCGUGAGUCAUCGAAUCUUUGAACGCACAUUGCGCCCUCUGGUAUUCCGGAGGGCAUGCCUGUUCGAGCGUCAUUAUCACCCCUCAAGCCCGGCUUGUUGUUGGAUGCAGCGCUUAUCCCGCUCCUCCCAAAGAUAAUGACGGCGUCUGCGACGACACUCCUGUACACUGAGCUUUCGGGCACGUACACGGCUAGAAGUCCAGACCCGGUCGCCGUCCCCCCCCCGCGGGGACACCCAUUACCACAAGGUUGACCUCGGAUCAGGUAGGAAUACCCGCUGAACUUAAGCAUAUCAAUAAGCGGAGGA
rnacentral:misc_RNA from 1 species